UCAAAACCCGCGUGAGCCUCAAAUUUGAUUUUCGUCAUCUCUUUUCUCUACGAGCACGAUAGCCAACCGACCCUCACAUUGGUCAAUCAACUUCUUCAUCUCCUCACAUUAUUCAAUCAAUUUCUCAUCUCAUCUUUUCAUCGACCGACCUCUCAAGACUUCCGUUCAAUCGACGACGACGUCGCUUCCAUCUCUGUCGUCGGCUCUCUGUUCAUCGGCACAUUGUCUUGCUUCCAUUCAAUAGUUGUUUUGUUAUAUUCCCCUUUGACGAGCAAGUGCCUCAUACAUUUGGUGUUUGCUCAUUUCCUUAUGAUAUUGAAUGAUCUCUAGUGCCUCAAGACUUGAGAACUCCUCAAGCAUUUUAAUCUAAAAACUCGUCGUGACCUUCUUCUCGAUUAGUUAGGGUUUUUUUCUAUCUCUCUGACCUCUGUUCUGUAAAAAUCUCUUCACAUCUCUUUCUUCCGUUCUUAACCAUGAGUAGGUCAAGACAGCCUCCAGAUCUCAAAAAAUGAGAACUGUCAAAGUCAGCAAUAUCUCAAAAUUUACUUGUGAGAGAGAUAUCAAAGAAUUAUUUUCAUUCUAUGGUGAAAUCCUUUAUGUUAAAAUGCAAAGAGAAAGUGAGAACACUCAAGUGGUUUUUGUUACAUAUAAAGAUUCUCAAGGAGCUGAUAUUGAAAUACUUCUGACAGUAUGACAAAAUGGCAUAAUUAAUUUGAAGACAUGGAAGCAUUCUAGUUUAUACAAAAUAUCUUGAAUGAAAUACGCCUCAUCAUUUUUGGAUUGGGAACACCAUUUUGAGACUAAGGGACAGUUAAACCAACAGCUGAACCAAAAUGAUCCCACGAGUCUGAAGGUACUUCCUAAUAUGGUCGUUGUUAAAUACUUGAGUGAUGGUUGUUCUAAUGGUUGACUGGAAGAUUCCUCAUAGUAUGAAGGUUGUUGCUUCAAGAAUUAUUUUGUGAAACUUACUAUGAGGCUUUAUGAAGUAUUAAUACUCGAAAAAACGUAAUUAUUGAGGGUCAGAACAUAAUUUAAUGUUUUAGAGUUUUAUAUUUAGUAAUUUUAUUUAUCGGUGUAAAUUGACAGUAGUUUGUGGAGAGACAUGAAUAGUCAUACUACUUGUAUAAUAUUAUUGUAAAUUUUGUAUAUUAUUGUAAAUUAUGUAUACAUAUGACUUAUUGUUGAAGAAUGAAAUUAUUGUUGAUUUGAAGGUUUAUUUUGUUAAUGAA